GAUGAACGCUAGCUACAGGCUUAACACAUGCAAGUCGAGGGACCGGCGCACGGGUGCGUAACGCGUAUCCAACCUACCCAUUACUGUGGGAUAACCUGCCGAAAGGCAGACUAAUACAGCAUAGUAAUGGAUGGGGAUGCGUCUGAUUAGCUUGUUGGAGGGGUAACGGCCCACCAAUGCGACGAUCAGUAGGGGUUCUGAGAGGAAGGUCCCUCACAUUGGAACUGAGACCCGGUCCAAACUCGUACGGGAGGCAGCAGUGAGUAAUAUUGGUCAAUGGGCACGAGCCUUAACCAGCCAAGUAGCGUGGAGGAUGACGGCCUAUGGGUUGUAAACUGCUUUUGUAUGGGUAUAGGUACCAUACGAAUAAGGACCGGCUAAUGCCGUGCCAGCAGCCGCGGUAAUUC
rnacentral:rRNA from 1 species